CGAAAAAAAGAGAUGAUGCUCGCGCGUCACUUGCAGGGUCAGUGCUUAGAUACGUGCAAGGGGGAACUCAAGGCCAAGAUGGCGUACAUGCCACAAAACAACCACAAGAGCCCGGCAAACGGUGGUUGCUGGCAUGAUGAACGGCUCAAACCAGCAGAUGAUUUCCUCCACAAUCACCUAUGAAGGUGAGACACUGGGGAGGCCACUGUCU